GAGACAGUGGAGCUUCUCCCCCUGCAGAAUGAAGGCAAAGGCCCAGAGCAUUGAAGAGCUGGGCUCCAAACCCAUUCUUCUGCAGCAGAUAGAUACUUUUAUUUUUAAUUGAUGCAGUAGUGACAUUUUGCAGGAAACAUUAGAUGACCUGAACGUUAGAUAACCAAAUGAAGUGCUCCUAAAAAGAACAAACCAAAAAAAAAGCCGAUUCUGAGAAUUUGUACUUUGAAGACUAUUCUAACCCUCAGUGGGGAUAGGAAUGGACCUCCAAAUCCUGCUUUCUUUCAAGGCCAGGUUGGAUGGGGCUUUGAGUAACCUGGUCUCGUGGGAGGUGUCCCUGCCCAUGGGAGGGGGUUGGAACUAGAUGGGCUUUAAGGUCCCUUCCAGUCCAAACCAUUCUAGGAUUCUAUGCGGGAUAUGACAGUUAAAGAACUAUUGUUGCUACCCCGUAAGUGGAUAAGACGUACUGUGCAAAUACUACAGAUAGCUGUUAAAUCUACCAUAUUGUUCAUUUAAAAUGAGAAUGAAGAACUUGGAGUAUUUUUGAGAUGUUCCGGGGGGAAAGACAAAGCCACCUGGAGCAGAGGCUGCAAGAGCUUGUACUGGAGAAGAGGUAAGAGGUAGGAAGAGGGCAAGAGGUGGGGAGGCAAUGCUAAGUUCUGUCUCCCAUGCUUGGUUAAGGAUGUGACAUACACGCAACGCAAACGGAUCCAAACUCUCCUUCCCUCAGAACUACACAGCAGUGUCACACCCAGAAAUGAGGAUAUUUGAAAGCUGGUUACUGGCUUUCCCUUACCCCUUAUUGAAACAUUUAAUUCCCUCUUGGUCCCUAAAUAUUUUCAGAUGCUCGGCGAAGUUUUUAACUAUAUUAAUAUUUUUCCCUCCCACCCCAAAAAACUCAAGUAGUUUUGGAGGAAAUUUAUUUUUUCCUUCCGGAGAAGCCUACUUUGCACAGAAAGAAAUGCUUCUUAAAGGAGAAAUGCUAAUCAGUUUUAGAUGCAAGUUAUCUAGCACACCACCACACACUGGGGUAUUUAUCACUGAAAUUGAUAAAACAUUAGAAGAUCUCCAGAAGCCCAACAUGACUAACCCAGCAUCAAGCCAGCAUGACUAACUGGGCUAGAAUCUGUGCAAACAAAACUGCAAGUUCCUCUGCUAUUUCAUUUGUAACAAGAAGUCAGUUUUGAAAUACUGGCAAAAUACUCUGGGUUUGUUUAGACCACAUCACCAUGACAGCAAAGCGCUGCCCAGCUCUUCGUGUAUUGUACGCCUUCGCAAGAAACAGUGGUGAAGGGGAAAUGAAGCUCAAAAGAAAAAAAAACAUGGCCAGAUGUCAUAUGGGAGAUCACAGGAGAUACAGAUUUGAGCGUACGUUCUCCAGUGACAGUCCCCAGCAUGUAGAUAACCUUCCCGUCCAAGCAACCGAGCCUCUGAUCAGCUCUUUCUCUGGAGCAACGCUGAAUUUUCAACAGCACGGGUUGAAUUUCCUCAGCGAGGCAAAUAAAUUCCACUUGUUUUCAACUGCCAAGAACUAAUGAACUUCUGAAAGGUCGUCAGUUCAAACAAUAGUAUGUAUUCGAAUGACAGGAUUGCUCUCAGCCGCACUUCUGCCUUUCUGUCCAGGGGAAGAGAACUCAAACCCUUGGGAAGGCUGAGAAGAUGGGAAAGCUCUUUCAGUCCGUCUCUAGACAGAGAGAACAGGAUUCCUCUGCGUUUCAGUCCUCAAAAUGGGGCACAGGGAUCCAGCCUGGCUCCGCUGUGCCUGUUCCCUCCAAGAAGCAUCAUUUCAUCCCCAGAUGAUCCAGUCACACCACAGGCUGUGGUCCAUUUGUUUUGGCUCAAGACAACAAUAGCUGCACAGAUGUCAAAAGAAGCAGUGCCUAGAACUUCUUUAAGGAGCCUGGUGUCAUUCCUGUAAGAAGUUUGUGUUCAAGAGUGUCAUGUUCUUCUGGUAAGUAGCUCGUUUGGAAUUAAAGUAUUUUCAGCGCUAAACACAAGAGAUGUAAAUUCGGGGGUUUGCAGCCACAGCCACCAUUCCUAUGGAACAGAAAGAGCACAGGCUGCUCUCUACAGCUCUGCACGCUCCUGCUCCGCUCGUUGUGACAGAGGCAGAGGACAACCUCCACAGCAGCCCUGUCCCACUUAGACAUUGCCCCCGUGGACUACGAGACAUGUCAGCAGAACAGAAGGAAUUCUUCGGCCUCCAAAUCUGGACCCUUGGAGGACC